UUACCUGGUCCGGACAUCGAUAGGAUUGACAGACUAAUAGAUCUUUCAUGAUACGGUGGGUGGUGGUGCAUGGCCGUUCUUAGUUCGUGGAGCGAUCUGUCAGGUUUAUUCCGGUAACGAACGAGAUCACGUUCUUCAUUUGGGGAGCUGUAUUCAUCUUUGAUUGCAAAAGUGCCUGGUGCUGGCGUUGAAGGCAUCGUAGAGCAGCUUCGGGUGUGUCAGUUGAGGUGGUAACAUCGAGGCUGGCAUGCUCUGGGUUACCUUUGCGCUCCCUCCGGCUUAGCAGUUCAUGUCUCGCAAGAGUCGUGUAUUGUAUCAUGGAGAGACAACGGAAUAUACUAAAAAAAUCCGAGGAAGUGUGGCUAUAACAGGUCUGUGAUGCCCUUAGAUGUUCAGGGCUGCACGCGCGCUACAAU
rnacentral:rRNA from 1 species